UAGCUCAGUUGGUAGAGCAGUUGGCUUUUAACCAAUUGGUCGUAGGUUCGAAUCCC
rnacentral:tRNA from 1 species